AGAGACAGCAGUAGCCGCGGGAAUACAGAGGGUGCGAGCGUUAAUCGGAUUUACUGGGCGUAAAGCGUGCGUAGGCGGCUUCUUAAGUCGGAUGUGAAAUCCCUGAGCUUAACUUAGGAAUUGCAUUCGAUACUGGGAAGCUAGAGUAUGGGAGAGGAUGGUAGAAUUCCAGGUGUAGCGGUGAAAUGCGUAGAGAUCUGGAGGAAUACCGAUGGCGAAGGCAGCCAUCUGGCCUAAUACUGACGCUGAGGUACGAAAGCAUGGGGAGCAAACAGGAUUAGAGACCCCCGUAGUCCCUGUCUCUUAUAC
rnacentral:rRNA from 1 species